rnacentral:rRNA from 1 species
UACGUAGGGUGCAAGCGUUGUCCGGAAUUAUUGGGCGUAAAGAGCUCGUAGGCGGUCUGUUGCGUCGGCUGUGAAAACCCGGGGCUCAACUCCGGGCCUGCAGCCGAUACGGGCAGACUAGAGUUCGGCAGGGGAGACUGGAAUUCCUGGUGUAGCGGUGAAAUGCGUAGAUAUCUGGAGGAACACCGGUGGCGAAGGCGGCGUCCUGGACCAACACUGACACUGAUGAGCGAAAGCCAGGGGAGCAACGGG